rnacentral:rRNA from 1 species
GACGAACGCUGGCGGCGUGCUUAACACAUGCAAGUCGAACGGAAAGGCCCUGCUUUUGUGGGGUGCUCGAGUGGCGAACGGGUGAGUAACACGUGAGUAACCUGCCCUUGACUUUGGGAUAACUUCAGGAAACUGGGGCUAAUACCGGAUAGGAGCUCCUGCUGCAUGGUGGGGGUUGGAAAGUUUCGGCGGUUGGGGAUGGACUCGCGGCUUAUCAGCUUGUUGGUGGGGUAGUGGCUUACCAAGGCUUUGACGGGUAGCCGGCCUGGGAGGGUGACCGGCCACAUUGGGACUGAGAUACGGCCCGGACUCCUACGGGAGGCAGCAGUGGGGAAUAUUGCACAAUGGGCGGAAGCCUGAUGCAGCAACGCCGCGUGCGGGAUGACGGCCUUCGGGUUGUAAACCGCUUUCGCCUGUGACGAAGCGUGAGUGACGGUAAUGGGUAAAGAAGCACCGGCUAACUACGUG